AAGUCAGUAACAAGGUUUCCGUAGGUGAACCUGCGGAAGGAUCAUUACCGAGUUCUCCUGCUCUGCAGGAACUCCCACCCUUGAUUACUAUAGCGUUGCUUCGGCGAGACGCUGGAAACAGCCGAUUUACCUCUCACCGUCGAUGCGUGCUCGCCGGAGUUUCAAUACUCAUACAUUAUGUGUCGAUCAGAGAAUCAAAAAUUCUAAAAAA
rnacentral:misc_RNA from 1 species